AACGAGCGCAACCCUUAAGCUUAGUUGCCAUCAUUAAGUUGGGCACUCUAAGUUGACUGCCGGUGACAAACCGGAGGAAGGUGGGGAUGACGUCAAAUCAUCAUGCCCCUUAUGAUUUGGGCUACACACGUGCUACAAUGGACAAUACAAAGGGUAGCGAAACCGCGAGGUCAAGCAAAUCCCAUAAAGUUGUUCUCAGUUCGGAUUGUAGUCUGCAACUCGACUACAUGAAGCUGGAAUCGCUAGUAAUCGUAGAUCAGCAUGCUACGGUGAAUACGUUCCCGGGUCUUGUACACACCGCCCGUCACACCACGAGAGUUUGUAACACCCGAAGCCGGUGGAGUAACCUUUUAGGAGCUAGCCGUCGAAGGUGGGACAAAUGAUUGGGGUGAAGUCGUAACAAGGUAGCCGUAUCGGAAGGUGCGGCUGGAUCACCUCCUUUCUAAGGA
rnacentral:rRNA from 1 species